rnacentral:misc_RNA from 1 species
AAGUCGUAACAAGGUUUCCGUAGGUGAACCUGCGGAAGGAUCAUUACAUUAUCUGCGAUAGCAGCUGUAGAAAUAUAGCUGCUGUUGUUGAUUUCCACCCUUGUCUUUUGCGCACCCCCCGUUUCCUCGGCUGCUCAGCCAGCCGUUAGGACACUUUAUAACCUUUUGUACUGUAUAAUCAGCGUCUGAAAAUAAUAAAUUAUUACAACUUUCAACAACGGAUCUCUUGGUUCUG